UGGGGAAUAUUGCACAAUGGGGGAAACCCUGAUGCAGCGACGCCGCGUGAACGAAGAAGGUAUUCGUAUCGUAAAGUUCUGUCCUAUGGGAAGAUAAUGACAGUACCAUAGAAGAAAGCUCCGGCUAAAUACGUGCCAGCAGCCGCGGUAAUACGUAUGGAGCGAGCGUUGUUCGGAAUUAUUGGGCGUAAAGGGUACGCAGGCGGUUUAAUAAGUCGAAUGUUAAAGAUCGGGGCUCAACCCCGUAAAGCAUUGGAAACUGAUAAACUUGAGUAGUGGAGAGGAAAGUGGAAUUCCUAGUGUAGUGGUGAAAUACGUAGAUAUUAGGAGGAAUACCAGUAGCGAAGGCGACUUUCUGGACACAAACUGACGCUGAGGUACGAAAGCGUGGGGAGCAAACAGG
rnacentral:rRNA from 1 species